AGAUUGAACGCUGGCGGCAUGCCUAACACAUGCAAGUCGAACGGGAGUAGCAAUACUCUAGUGGCGGACGGGUGAGGAAUACGUAGGAAUUUGCCCUUAAGUGGGGGAUAACCCGGGGAAGCCCGGAUUAAUACCGCAUGACCUCGAAAGAGCAAAGUGGGGGAUCGCAAGACCUCACGCUUUUGGAGAAGCCUACGUCGGAUUAGCUAGUUGGUGAGGUAAUGGCUCACCAAGGCGACGAUCCGUAACUGGUCUGAGAGGAUGAUCAGUCACACCGGAACUGAGACACGGUCCGACUCCGUACGGGAGGCAGCAGGUCGGGGAAUAGUCGGACAAGUCGGG
rnacentral:rRNA from 1 species